AUCGGACAAGAUCGAGUUACCCAGGCCAAGGAAAUACAGCGAGAUAGACGUCGGCUACACAUUCAAGACCCAUCAGUAUAUUCCGAGUAAAGAGCUGUUGAUGCAGGAGUUUUCCAGACCGGUUCAGAGGAAACACCUCAGCGGACGACCACCUCAACCUCUCCCUGUUAAAGAAAGAUCUAAUACCACGUGGCAGACCGAAUCCUCAGGUUCAGGUGAAUAUGCCAUACCAGGUGAACAAACGCCAGAGCCUCCCCCUAGACCCGAU